GUGAAUCAUCAAAUUUUUGAACGCAAAUUGCACUCUCCGGUUAGCGGGGAGAGGAUGCCUGUUUGAGGGUUAGACUAAAAAAAUCGACAUGUUUGCUGGUGUAUGGUGACGUUCGUCGGAUAUUGUUUAUCUUAAAUCUCGGUUUAGGCGACUUAAAAAUUUUUUGUACGAUUCUAAGAAUGUUUCUAAGAUUUUUCUUGUACGUUUAAUGUAGCGAUUGUCUUAUUAGACGUGGCCGUCAUAUCGGAUCGUGUCCAUAAUUUUUUUCGUUAACUG
rnacentral:misc_RNA from 1 species